rnacentral:siRNA from 1 species
AAAGGGUGUGGCCUGCAAAUUACC